UUUCUAGUUCUCAAGUGAUAACCACAAAAUGGUUCAAAUUUUUAGUGUUUCAUCGCCAUUUUGGAAAAGCAGCCGAACGCGUUUUUUGAAAUAUUUUGUGAGUGAACAAAAAGGAGCUGCUUAAAGUGCACCAAAUGAGCUCUCCGUUUCCAGCUCAAAGAUCCAGCCGGAAGAUUCGAAAUAUUGUUAAGGAGAAGUCAAAAAUGAUGUUCCCGAUUAUUGUUCCGGUAAAAAGGAAUCGAUUUGGUCAAGAAGGAUCGUAUGAAAGUGCUACAUUCAAAAGUGGAGUUCCUAUAGGAUCAAAAAGCAAAUCCAACUUACCGUAACAUUUGGCCGGAAGCUCGCACAAAAGCGAUAAUAUACAAGACGAAUGGUGGUUCAUCGUAUCGCUGACGCAUCGCGUAGUCAAAUUCCGGGUUUGACCGCUUCUGCUGGCGUUUUUUGCUGAUAGAAGCAGCCGAACAUCUGCCUUUUUGGGCAAAUCCGGAAACGUUCAAGGGGCGAGUUUUCAUCUACCUUGACAGCUGGUGCUAGUUGAAACUAGCGCUUCUCAAGCUAAGUCUUCCCAAUCACGAAGUCGACGAACAAAGUUAUACGGAAUGACUUAAUUGAAAUUAUCAAUCGGCCGUCAUAUUAUAGUUUUGACUUAUUUUAGUAUUAGAGCGAAAUGAUUGUGCUGCCUUUUUUCGCGAUAUACACGAAUUUGUGACCACGAAAAAAAGUAUAAUUGAGGUAAAUUACUGAAAACCUUUAUUUAAAUUUUUGAUUAAUUGUCUAUCAUGAUUUUGAUUCUCCGAAACCUUAGGAUUUGUGCAUGAAAAACGUUAAAAUAAGGUCUACAGUAAACAUGCAUGUUAAA